CAGCCAAGCACCGCAGCCCGUUUGUUUUUCUUUUCUCCCACCUCUCUGCCGCUGACGAAAGGGACCCAGCCCUCAUCUCUCUCCUCUCGCCCAGUUUCCUGUACGCACACGAGUUCGUCUCUCGAUCCAAAUCUUCGAUCGAUUUGAUCCGUUCUUGACCUUUCUCCCACGCCCGACCCUCUAUAUAUUCUGCCCAAAUCCUCCGCGUCCGAUUUUUGGUAAAUCUGAGAUCUCCCGUGCUCGUUUCGCCCUGUCCCGAUCUCGCCGGAAUCCGUUUUGCAGAAGCUUGUCGCCGCCGUUGAAUUCGUAGCCAGCCGAGGUUUUGAGCGCCUCCCUUCCCCUUCGUACUCUUCUCCUUGACCUCCUGUCUCUUCCUCAUCUUCGCUCUAGCGUAGGGGCACACCAGAGGGACCACGACUUCUACCCAAAGAAGAAGCUGCCCUCGCCGGAGAUUCCAUGUAGCUGUCGCCGUCGUCGAGGUCCGAGCCGCCGAGGUCCUCUUCUCCAAGUCCGGCGGCCUGCCUUUGUUCACGGGAUAUUCAUAUGAUCAGUGAGAUACAAUAGGGUUGCGAGUCUUCACUCAACAUCUUCGCCAGUGGACAUUGUUUGGACUCAUCGUUUAUUAUGCUACAUUUCCGUUGUUAUUGGAUAAAUAUAGCUAUGUACUAUUCAGUUUGUAAUACUUUAUAAAUUCUGGAUCAUAUGUUGUAGUAAAUGAUGCACUUGUUACUUUGAUAUUCCUAUGUACUGUGUGUGCUAGCGAAUUGAUCCAGGGACUAGCACGGUAAGCACAGAGACAUCGAAUCUUAUCAGGUUCGGGUCGUUACAAAAGUUCUUCACUCUACAAUAAUCCAUAUAUUUGAAUUUA